rnacentral:rRNA from 1 species
GACGAACGCUGGCGGCGUGCUUAACACAUGCAAGUCGAACGGAAAGGCCCUGCUUUUGUGGGGUGCUCGAGUGGCGAACGGGUGAGUAACACGUGAGUAACCUGCCCUUGACUUUGGGAUAACUUCAGGAAACUGGGGCUGAUACCGGAUAGGAGCUCCUGCUGCAUGGUGGGGGUUGGAAAGUUUCGGCGGUUGGGGAUGGACUCGCGGCUUAUCAGCUUGUUGGUGGGGUAGUGGCUUACCAAGGCUUUGACGGGUAGCCGGCCUGAGAGGGUGACCGGCCACAUUGGGCCUGAGGUACGGCCCAGUCUCCUACGGGAGGCAACAGUGGGGAAUAUUGCACAAUGGGCGGAAGCCUGAUGCAGCAACGCCGCGUGCGGAAUGACGGCCUUCGGGUUGUAAACCGCUUUCGCCUGUGACGAAGCGUGAGUGACGGUAAUGGGUAAAGAAGCACCGGCUAACUACGUG